GGGCGCUUGGUCUAGGGGUAUGAUUUUCGCUUCGCACAAAUCGUGAGAAUGUGAAAGGUCGUGGGUUCAAUUCCCACAGCGUCCA